rnacentral:lncRNA from 1 species
AACCCAAUGGCACUGACGGAUUUCAGAUCUAAUGCACGAUUUUUGAGAAAAAAGGAGUUUUAUCAAAAAGAAGGUUUUCGCUCUUUGCUAUCCUUGCAUUAUAAAGCUCCUCGUGCUUUGUGCCUGUGACUUGGGGUUGGGUGAGAGAUGUUUCUAGUAUCUACUGGAGGUAGGGAGUCCAUAUUCGGAUUUGAAUUUACGGUUUUUGGGUUUACGCAUAGGUUUAUGUGUGUAAUAUAUGGAAUAGUUGGAGAGGGGAUGGGUUUGUUGCAAAUCAGCGA